UCCAGCAAAGGCGCAGGUCAAAAAGCACCUAAUUAUGAUAAAAAGGCUCAUGGAAACAAGUAGAUGGUGCAAUAAAGGGAAAAUCUAAACCUGUUAGCGGAGGCUACUUUGCCGUUUUAUUUUGAUCGAAAACUGAACAUCAGAAGAAAUUCAUCCAAUAUAUUGAUACAAUUCUUGAGUAAAACACAGGGAUGCAAUUUACGGCGUCCAGGAAAAGCAAGAAGGGAGAAGAAUAAAGCUGGUUUAACGACAUGCAAAUGUUUAGAAGCAUGUUUGCAAAUGUGUUGAGAAAACUCAUAUUGACAGCAUAUCUAAACAAGAUAUAACAGAAAAAACUCUUCACUCACAAAUUGGGUAUUGCUAUUCCGGGAGCCAAAGACUGGGAUAGAGGAAGAAAGGCUACAGCGAAUUUUCGGAAAGAAAGUGGAACCAACCAGAAGGAAGAAUGAUACAAAAAAAAUAAUGUAAAUAUGUUCUAUAGAAGUAUGUAUUUAUAAUCUUGAAAUAUCAUGUAUCUUUUUCAAGAUA